UGUCUAUGUUGAACAUUGAAGCAAUGGAGAAAAAAAACAUAAUGUGGUGUAGCGGUGGUCACUUGCCAGCUUGGAGUCCAAGAGAAUACUCAACGCUGCGUUGGAUAAGAGGGCAAAAGAUGUGUUGAAAAUCAUCUACCACUCUGCUCUGGAACGCAAAUUCAUGUGUGGCUUAAUGUGGAAAUAUGCAGAGGGUCAAGCAAUGGCAACAAGAUUGUCAAAGCAAAUCUAAACUUAUUAACUUAAUAAUUAAUUCAGGGCAUCAAUAAAGCUAUACAACCUGAAGAGGCGUGCCAUACCCUUCUCCAAUCUCCCUCAACUGCUGACUUUUGAAGCCACAAUAGAUCUGGAGGGUGGUGUCUGGAGCCAAUGUGGAGAGAGUUUCUGUUUAACGGCAACAACAACAAAAAAUUGCUUUGAGAAAGCUUGACUGUAGAAUGUAGCUCUUGCCACGUUGCUCUGUAAUGUUUAUUUAAGUUAUCAGACUUUUCUCUGCCUUCUGUCUUUGUACUGGACAUUUUUGGGGAUUUCAAGAUCUUUAUACUGUAAUUGUGAAUAACACUUAUGAAAUAAAUGUGUCAAAAAAGAAGGUGUACAGUUGCUUAUGUU